rnacentral:lncRNA from 1 species
UGAAAAUUAUUUAAUUUUCUAUAUUUUUAUUUUUUAUUUUUGAAUUAUUUUAAUAUCUCUUUUAAUUUUUACAUUUAAUUAUGUUUAAUUAACCUAGUUUUAUUUGUUAGGUUUUGACUUUUGAUCUUCCCAUUUGAAUAUUGAUCCAAUCUUUUGUACACAUGUCGACACAUGAAUAUAGGUCAUUUGGGUUUUCAUUUGGUGUUUGGAUUAUUAAUUUUGGAUUGGUUUUGAACUUAUUUUUGAAGAUUACUUGGUAUGAUCAAUUAGUGGUGCAGUGUUUGAAUGAUUGAUUUGAUUGGACAUAUUUUUCACGUGAUUUUGAAUACAUCUUUGAGACACAUUGAGUUUCUGAUUUCACCUUUCCAUGUUUAAUUU